CAGUGAUAAACUGGAGGAAGGUGGGGAUGACGUCAAGUCAUCAUGGCCCUUACGACCAGGGCUACACACGUGCUACAAUGGCGCAUACAAAGAGAAGCGACCUCGCGAGAGCAAGCGGACCUCAUAAAGUGCGUCGUAGUCCGGAUUGGAGUCUGCAACUCGACUCCAUGAAGUCGGAAUCGCUAGUAAUCGUGGAUCAGAAUGCCACGGUGAAUACGUUCCCGGGCCUUGUACACACCGCCCGUCACACCAUGGGAGUGGGUUGCAAAAGAAGUAGGUAGCUUAACCUUCGGGAGGGCGCUUACCACUUUGUGAUUCAUGA
rnacentral:rRNA from 2 species